CAAACAUUCCUUCUAUGAUCUAGAAGGCCUUCUGCACUCGGAACCCCAUUGUGCCCCCACUGUGGUCAGCCAGCUUAUUAUCACGAGUCAGACUUUUAUGUGUUAAGCCAUUCGGUUGAUUCUCACUUGGAUAUUAUUAAUGCUGCAUCUGGAGUGUGGGUAGUGUAUCUUUAAAAGAUUGCAGGCUACUAUUUAUGCACAAGUCACUAUGAAAAAAAUUGCAUUGUGUUGUAAUAAAAGAACCCUCUCAACCAGAACUGAAGUGUUGUUUUCACAACAUUGAAAGAGACUAAACGAAGCAAACUGGAAAAGCUGCUUGGUGUUGUAUUCUUGAAGAAGAGCAGAAAUAACGAAAUUUUGUUCAAUAUAUUACCUUGCUGGCGGCAGAUCUGCGGUUUUCUCAGCCCAUUUUCUAAUAAAGACUGAAUUCAUGCAUUGUUGCCACGGAUGUGUAACCUGAAUUGAAUGAAGACUUCAGACCUAAAUUCUGGUUUUAUAGGACACAUGGUUUAAAAGAGGAAGCAAUCAGAUCUAUAUAGAAAGUGGGACAUUUGGCCUGAUCUCUUCAGUAAGUCAUUGCCAUUAGAAAAAUGAGGGGAAGAAUAAAAAACAAAUAAAAAAAAUAUGGUACUUCUUUGGACUCUGGCUUGAUCAAAC
rnacentral:lncRNA from 1 species